rnacentral:rRNA from 1 species
UACGUAGGGCGCAAGCGUUGUCCGGAAUUAUUGGGCGUAAAGAGCUCGUAGGCGGUUUGUCGCGUCUGCUGUGAAAACCUAAGGCUCAACCUUGGGCUUGCAGUGGGUACGGGCAGACUAGAGUGUGGUAGGGGGAGACUGGAAUUCCUGGUGUAGCGGUGAAAUGCGUAGAUAUCGGAAGGAACAUCAGUGGCGAAAGCGGCUUCCUGGACCAGAACUGACGAUCAGGCUCGAAAGCGUGGGGAGCAAACAGGG